GAAGAUUCUGUCGACCAAUCAACGGAGGGGGUGUAGCUAGAAUUCCAGGGUACCCUUUCAGGCGUCUGGUCUCGUUUUGGGUACCGCAACGGAGGAGUCCCUAAAAUGGGGUCGGAACGGGUACGGCAAAGUCCGGGUCACGCCCACUUUUGGCGGUGGAAACGCGAUCCGACCCGCACCUUUGCGAUCCGAUCCGUUCCGCACCCUGCAGUGGAAAUGCGCCAGAAAGUCGAUCUCUUUUAGCGUCGCUGUAUCACCAUGGUGACACACACCGGCGCCGCAGCGUCGCGUAUUUUACGCGCGUCAAAAGCACGCCCCUAGCACCAACAGGAGGCGGCGCGACGGCCGCGCUGCAGUAUAAAAUCAGGAAGUCACCUGUCAAUCAACAGCAGCAAAGACACGAAACGCAAUGGUUGCCGAUUCCUGCCUGUCUGACUACCUCGCCUGCCGCCCAGCCCCUGUCGGUCCGUCUGCUCUUCUGUCCCCGGCUCCCGAUCCACCAGCCUGCCCCCCGUUGCUGACCUCUGACUGUCUGACUAUCCUGCCUGCCGUCGAGUCCCUGUCGGUUUGUCUGCUUACCCGUUCCUUAUUCCUGGUCCGUCCAUCUGCCCUCCCGUUGCCGACCUCUGCCUGCCGACUACCCUCUGCCUGCCGACCCGGUCCCUAAAUAAAGCCUGGGACAUAUUGCCCAGGCCUAAUUCUUAACAUACCAUUAUUGUACUGUAUGUAUUGAAUAUUCAAUUAACUCCACUUACAUUGUGUGGUGUUGGCAUGACAAUGUGGCCUCUGAGAAUGUGUCUUUAUCUGCUGAGACACUACAGAAGAAUCCAUCCAGGAUCUCACACUCGGUGUCUGAUGUUGGAGUACACUUCUUCUUAACCUUCAGACCUGUCAAUCACAACAGUUACAGAGGAACCUGAGACAACCAGAGAGUACACAACUUCUGAUAUUACAUGAACAACACAACUUCUGAUAUAAACAUGGACAACACAACUUCUAAUGUAAACAUGAACACAACUUCUGAUAUCAACAUGAACAACACAACUUCUCUGAUAUUAACAUGAACCACAAAACUUCUGAUAUAAACAUGGACAACACAACAGAUAGGGGUUGCAUUGGGGCAUUUCUAUUUAAAAAUAUAGAUGUACCUGUGACACACAUUGUACAGUUAGAGCAUUGCUUCUGUCCGCUAAGGCCUUCUUUGAAAGUACCAUCGGGGCACUUUGAGCACAAUGUAUUGGCUGUCGCUGUGCAAUCCCUAUGAACCCUAUAUCCUGUUGGAAAGAACAUUUAAAAUAUGUUGUUUACCAAUGGAUUUGGUUGAAGAAAUCAUACAGAACUAUUUUGGACAACAGCUUGACAACAGCUGGGUCAAUGGACUCUUACCACCAGGACAUGCAAGGCAGCAGACCUGUCCCGCUCUGUAUUCAUCCCCGGGACACGAUGGUGAUGCAGCACUAGCAACACCAUAAGUAUUACAAACUGAACAUAUUAGGAACAGGAUUUGUAAGAACAUGGUGGUCCAGUUUGUAUGACCUUCAGCCAUCUGAUAUUUUUUGGCAGAUUUUUGGCAGAUAUUUCUUCUGUGUGUCAGUGCAAGUCUUGUUAUAGGGUUAUACUUUGGCUGCCAUAUCUUCUUUGCCUUGCAGCUAUAGACUUUUGUUGAAGUUCAGAAAGAUCUGGAGAGAUAAAAAAAAUAUUCAGCAGUUAAUAAAUGUAAUAACUUGUAUCUUUAACACGUUUGAGAACUUUAGAGCUGUUAAACAAAGAGCUGUUAACCUUGUAUGUCUGCAUUAACCGUGAUCUAAUGCUUAUAAUUUUUCUGUAACAAAUACAUUUGUGAGUGAUAAAAGUAUGUCACAAAUAUAAUGUACCACUUUUAUGUUCUUUGGGCUACAUAAUUUUUCUAGAUUGACUUGGUCUUUGGAUCCUAUGUUUAAUAUAGG
ensembl:lncRNA